GAUGAACGCUGGCGGCGUGCCUAAUACAUGCAAGUCGAGCGAACAGACGAGGAGCUUGCUCCUCUGACGUUAGCGGCGGACGGGUGAGUAACACGUGGAUAACCUACCUAUAAGACUGGGAUAACUUCGGGAAACCGGGGCUAAUACCGGAUAAUAUAUUGAACCGCAUGGUUCAAUAGUGAAAGACGGUUUUGCUGUCACUUAUAGAUGGAUCCGCGCCGCAUUAGCUAGUUGGUAAGGUAACGGCUUACCAAGGCAACGAUGCGUAGCCGACCUGAGAGGGUGCUCGGCCACACUGGAACUGAGCCACGGUCCAGACUCCUCCGGGAGGCAGCGGUAGGGAAUCUUCCGCAAUGGGCGAAAGCUUGACGGAGCAACGCCGCGUGAGUGAUGAAGGUCUUCGGAUCGUAAAACUCUGUUAUUAGGGAAGAACAAAUGUGUAAGUAACUAUGCACGUCUUGACGGUACCUAAUCAGAAAGCCACGGCUAACUACGUG
rnacentral:rRNA from 1 species